rnacentral:rRNA from 1 species
AAACUCCUGCUAAUACCGCAUAGCCAUGAGCACCGCAUGGAGCUCAUGCCAAAUAUCCUUUCGGGGAUAGCGCAGGGAUGGACCUAUGGCGCAUUAGCUAGUUGGCGGGGCAACGGCCCACCAAGGCAACGAUCAGUAGCCGGCUUGAGAGAGUGUACGGCCACAUUAGGACUGAGACACGGCCCAG